UACGUAGGGCGCAAGCGUUAUCCGGAAUUAUUGGGCGUAAAGAGCUCGUAGGCGGUUUGUAGCGUCUGCCGUGAAAGUCCGGGGCUCAACUCCGGAUCUGCGGUGGGUACGGGCAGACUAGAGUGAUGUAGGGGAGACUGGAAUUCCUGGUGUAGCGGUGAAAUGCGCAGAUAUCAGGAGGAACACAGAUGGCGAAGGCAGGUCUCUGGGCAUUAACUGACGCUGAGGAGCGAAAGCAUGGGGAGCGAACAGG
rnacentral:rRNA from 1 species